UGUUGAGGAAAAAGACGAUAUCGUUGGUAAAGGUUCUUUGGAAGCAUCAUGGAGUUGAGGAGGCUACUUGGGAGCUCGAACAGGAGAUUCGCUCCAAGUAUCCAGAGUUGUUUUCUCCCUCAGAGCAUUGUGAAGCAAAGUUGGAGAGCUCGUCAAGGCCUUCAAUUUGAUAGGAGCCAAUCAUCAUUUGGUGCACUCUAGGGAGUUCAAAAUUCUAGGGUUCUUGGGCUUGGAUUUGGGGAUUUUGGGAGUUUUCACUUCCAUUGAGGACAUGGAAAAGAGGUGGCGGACGACGAUCCACCACGAUUUUAGACGAGCACGGAGACCUAUUUUAUUUUUUUUGCUAUCUUUUGUAUUAAAACUCUCUAAUAUUUUGUAAAUGUAAUAUUAACUAACUCGUAAAACUUUAGUUUAAUUAGUAUAAUGUUGUAAGCCAUGGACUUUUAAAUUCUAACUACGCUUUUUGGACUGUAACUUGAUAUAACCAACGUAUGUUCCUUGUUGGAUGAGAUGGAGGAAUGGGAUUUUGUAUGUAUGUAGUCACUUUGGAGAUAUGAUAUAAUAUAUGUAUAUUGCGUUGGGACAAGAUAUGUUAGAUUUAAGGCCCAGGGAGGCCAUUGUAAUUAUUUUUUUUUUUUUGUAUUUCAACAGGUUGUUUAGAGACAUUUUAUGCGGAGGUUAUGCCGAAAUUUUUUAUAAAUUUUUAUUAUUAUUUUGGUAUCCCAUUUGGGUCGUUACAAUAUGGAUAGCUGCUCGAUUAUCACAAAACAACGGAAGAGGAGUUUGAACUCCCAAACCAAGUUCUUCAAGGAAAUAUUGUAGCCACGUCAACUCACUAGACGUAUGAGCCAUCGCCCUAUACUCA